UACGGGGGGAGCAAGCGUUGUUCGGAUUUACUGGGCGUAAAGGGCGCGUAGGCGGUCGUGACAAGUCACUUGUGAAAUCUCCGGGCUUAACUCGGAACGGUCAAGUGAUACUGUCGGACUAGAGUACAGAAGGGGCAACUGGAAUUCUCGGUGUAGCGGUGAAAUGCGUAGAUAUCGAGAGGAACACCCGUGGCGAAGGCGGCCCUCUGGCUCGACCCUGACGCUGAGGCGCGAAAGCGUGGGGAGCGAACGGG
rnacentral:rRNA from 1 species